rnacentral:tRNA from 1 species
GGGGAUUUAGCUCAGCGGCAUAAGCAUCUGCCUUGCAAGCAGACGGACAUGAGUUCAAUCCCCA